GAAAGAAUGACUGAGUGGUUGAAAGUGGCAGAUUGUAAAUCUGUUAGGUUUUUAUCCUAUCGUAGGUUCGAAUCCUACUUCUUUCA
rnacentral:tRNA from 1 species